rnacentral:rRNA from 1 species
GUGUCAGCAGCCGCGGUAAUACGUAGGGGGCAAGCGUUGUCCGGAAUGAUUGGGCGUAAAGGGCGCGUAGGCGGCCUGUUAAGUCUGGAGUGAAAGUCCUGCUUUCAAGGUGGGAAUUGCUUUGGAAACUGGCGGGCUGGAGUGCAGGAGAGGUUAGCGGAAUUCCCGGUGUAGCGGUGAAAUGCGUAGAGAUCGGGAGGAACACCAGUGGCGAAGGCGGCUAACUGGACUGUAACUGACGCUGAAGCGCGAAAGUGUGGGGAGCAAACAGGAUUAGAUACCCUGGUAGUCCACACGGUAAACGAUGAAUGCUAGGUGUAGGGGGUAUCGACCCCUUCUGUGCCGGAGUAAACACAAUAAGCAUUCCGCCUGGGGAGUACGGCCGCAAGGUUGAA